ensembl:lncRNA
GAAAAGUAUUGACAAAAAUAAAUGAGUAAGCAAACCCAAAAACCUGUGUAGGAGGAGAGGUAGGAAAUUUCUCCUUCUUCAGGUAUGGCAGACUUGUGCUGCCCUAUUAAGUUCUCUAAGUAAUGAGUUAGCACAGGGAGAAAAAUGAUAGGAAAAGGAAAUGGAGGAACAGCAGCCUCCACCUCAGCUGCCUCCACCUCAGCUUUGCCAUUGCAUCAGCUGCUAGAUUUAGAUUUAAUGGCUGUAGCACAGGCAACCUCUAGUAGAAUGAAGUAUUUGUCUUAUGAUUAUUUCAGCUUUUAACUGAUAGAAUCUCAUUUCAGCUGAGAAGAAUACGAAGGAGCUGCUCCUUCAUAUACGGGUGGGACACUUCUGGACCAGAACUUCUCAGUUCGCAUUGAAGACUCUAAGAUAGAAUUGAGUAUAAUUAUCAUCUGCAAUGACACAUGUGAUGGCACACGUUUGUUUUGAACAAGACGUUAAAAAGAGUGAUUGAAUUUGCAAGAGUGACAAUUGUGACAAUUGAUAAUUGCAGAGAUGUUGCCUCCAUCAUUUUCGCAGUUUUCAUGGAAGUAAAUAGCAGACGUUACUUUCAGAGUGACCUACGUACAUGCCAGGUUCAUCACUUUUCUUGAAUGGUCCUUAUGGCUUCACAUGGCUGUCCUGCACUCUGUCUCCUUGGUCCUGAGGCACAACAUUUGCACCCUGUUGCACUCCAAGCUCACAGCCUCUGCCACCAUGCUGCUGUCCUGAAAACACAAAAUUGUAACUUGGGGAAACAGUGACAUUCAGGAGAGGUACAUUCUCUGAAACAGAAAAACACCAGAUUGGAGAGUCCUGAUAUGAAAACCACCCACAGCUUACGAACAUUUCCGGGCACUUUCUAAUCUCUGUACUGUCUUCAGUGAGACCAGUAAGAAAAAGAAGAACUAAGGACACGUCUGAAUGAGAAACGGUGCCCGAUGCUCAGAGCAACAGGAGUCCACCCCCAGGAAAUCUUGGAGAGAAGUCUGGGUUGGUUUGUAUCUGGAUCAGAAGAAUUGCAAAGAAAAAUCAAUUUUCCUGACAAAGAGCUGAUUUGAACAAGGGGCCAGAAGACAGAAGUACUGUGAGAAAUUAGUGUUGAAUGGAUCUACAACAGAACACUGCAUCUUCAGAAAAGAAGGUCAUAAUAAUGAGAGAUAUGUGGGAAAAGGCAGUAAUUUAUGUUGGUGUCUGAACUCUUAAAUAAUAUUUAAGGUGAAAAUUGGCCUGAUUUCGAAUGAAAUAUUCUGUGCUCAGAUCUUCUUUCUAAAUGUAAUGUAGCUAAAUAUAGACUCAGAACAUUGUUUCAAAACAUUGUUUUUCCACUUAAGGAAAAAAAAAAAAAAAAACCUUUUGAGUUCCCUUGUCCUCCUCUCAUUUUCCCUAAAAUUCUGCCAAAUUUAAUCUGCUUUUACAAAGAGAGCUAGGCAUCUUGUAUUUUUGUAUCAAAUAAAUCAUUCACUCUAAAGGUUUUCAUCCAGCUAAUAAUACAAAUGACCAGAACAGACUGUGCUUUAUACCUUCUAACUGAAGGAGUCAUGUUUCUGACUCUGCUGCUAACUACAGAGCAAGGAGCCCCAGACCUGCCUGCACCCAUCCCAUCCCUUGAAUUCAGAGAAAUAAGAAAUUGAUUUUUGGAACAGAUUAGAUGGAUAAGCAAAUUUUUUGUUGUUGUUGUUGCAAUUCCAGACUUCUCCAAAGCUUACUGGAAUUCAUAUUUUACUGGGUUUUUGUGAGGUAUCUCACACAGUUCCCCCUCCCUCGCUGUGCUGGUGGAUUUACACCCAUGGUUCCCAAGCUCAUGAACUUUGCUUUGCCUUAUUUCCCUCAAGUGAUGGAAUUGUGGACAGAUUUUGGAGUCCCAUCACUGCAAUGCAAAAUAAUAUAUUUUCUCCUGCUAAUAAGUGGAAGCCUGAGGAUUAUUUGGGUUGUUUGCUGCCAGAGUGCUGCACUGAAGCUAGGGAUGGGACAGACACUCAUUAUCUAAACCGUUGUUUUCCCCCAUAUUCCUUUCAGCUGUUCUAGAAUUUGUAUUCUAGUUAUACAAAAUAAAAUUCCUGGGCUGACCCUGGCAGACAACACCAGUUUCAAGCCUGCCUUCCACCAUUUUAGUGUGAAAAUGUGGCUGGAAGACAUCCAAAACUCUGAAGGUUUGUUUCUGUGUAAGACGUGUAAUAUCCAGCUGCCUUUGACUGAAUUUAAUGGCGUAUUUGUAUUUGAAAAAAUCAAUAAGGUUUAUGAGCUGAAGAGGGAUCCAGUGUAACCAGAUCUGUCACUUUUAUGGACACCUUCUGCAAUUCCUUGUGACACAGGAAUCAGGCUAUAGAAACCAUCCUACGCGCCCCUGCAAAACAAGAUUUAGUGCUGUAAACCUCACUGGAGCAGCUCAAGGAGAGGUACAAUGAUAGAGAACAAAGGAGAGCACUGAGAAACAACCCACCACUAAUCAGCCUAGAAGGCCAAUAAGAUCUGAUAGGUUUCUGCAAUAAAACUACCCAAAACCUCCCAGUGGAUUUUCAUACAAUAGAAAUCAAAAGGGCACAUUAGUCAUAAGGCAAGAGAGACACCAAGGGAAAACUUCCUGCUGUCAUGCUUUAAACAGCUUUCUUCUUUAGACAAAAUAGCCAUCAUGCAAAGUUCGUAACGAAUAAAAGUUUUCACUCUUUGUUGAGGUCCAGUCCAAGGUCUGUGCAGCAUUUAAGCCAUACUAUUAUGAGGCCAUAAACGGGGCACUAGUUAUAAAUUAUUUCUUAUUGCUAUUGCCUUUGAGACACCAUAAUACAUAAUGAUCUGUCAUCAACAUUUAUAAAAUACUUCUACUGGAGCAGGCGGACUUUAGUUCCUUUUCAGACUAGUCCUGCUGAUUUCAAUCAUGUCUGUGGUUAUAUCAAAGGUUUAAUUUGCUUUUCACUCCACAUUUCUGUACUUUGCUAGAUUAUCUGGAACCUCUCAUCACAGGGAGGGAAGAUAUAGUGAGAAAUGGAUGGAAUCUUUCCCUUUUUCCUCAUGACAAUUUGUGCUGGUCUCUAAAAAUUAUAUGUUGCUUAAGGCAGCAUCACCACAGAGUUCUCCCAGCACAGUGCCUGUGUGUCUUUGCACUGGAGCAUGUGGCUGCUGAAGGACAGGCACUGGAAAUCUUUAUGAAGCUCAUGCUGCACAGCCACGUGUCCAAUGCAGUGCUUUGUUUGGCCUGAGAUAAGAUUUCUUUUCCUUUGAACUUCUGUUAAGUGUUUGCAAAAUAUUCAUUAUUCCUCAAAGAAAGAAUUUCAUACAGUGUCAAUCACUCCUAGUAAGUCUUGUGUUUAUUUGUAAUCCUGUUUUGUUUUAACCUAAAGUCAAAAAUUCACAAAUAUCUGAUGGGAUUAUUAACACAAAACUGCACAAAGUCCUUUCUUUCAUUUCACAUGAUAAGCAUGAAAACUUAUGUGAGAACUGGUCUUCUGUUGAGUUAAAUUUACAUUUUGUGGAACUUACUACAAUGUGACAUAUUUAAGUUUGUAACUACUGUUUCCAAAAUUUCCAAAAGAGAACAGUCUAUUUUAGCAUUUGAUGCCAAUAAAACAAAAAGACUCAUCUUUACCCAUCUGAAAUUAGUGAUUUUUUCCCGCUGCCUUUUAUAAAGAUAAAACAUAUGCAUUAUCUGUUUUAUUUGAAUGAUAAGAGACUGGCACAGCAUAUCUGACAGAAUAGGCUUGUAUCUUUUGAUGUUCACUAACAGUAAAUAAUAAUUAAUACUUUUUUCAUUGGAUGUGGGACUGUAAGCAGUAAAGACAGUUCUUAAUCAUA